rnacentral:rRNA from 1 species
AUACGUAGGGGGCGAGCGUUGUCCGGAAUGAUUGGGCGUAAAGGGCGCGUAGGCGGCCUGUUAAGUCUGGAGUGAAAGUCCUGUUUUCAAGAUGGGAAUUGCUUUGGAUACUGAUGGGCUUGAGUGCAGGAGAGGUUAUCGGAAUUCCCGGUGUAGCGGUGAAAUGCGUAGAGAUCGGGAGGAACACCAGUGGCGAAGGCGGGUAACUGGACUGCAACUGACGCUGAGGCGCGAAAGUGUGGAGAGCAAACAGGAUUAGAUACCCUGGUAGUCCACACUGUAAACGAUGAAUGCUAGGUGUAAGAGGUAUCGACCCCUUUUGUGCCGGAGUUAACACAAUAAGCAUUCCGCCUGGGGAGUACGGCCGCAAGGUUGAAACUCAAAUGAAUUGACGGGG